CCAGAGUAAUAGUUACCUUUCAGAGAAGGUGCAGGCAUCGCGACAUCUAAAAUAGAAACUUUGUUCUGCCUAGAUUGGCCCGCUAACAUUUGUAUCGACUCAUAAAUAUUCAAACAGCCUGAUUCAUAGCGUGAUUCAGUAGUAGGUCCAAAUGGUUUCAUCCGGAAAGGCAGAGUUACUGAAUGCAGAGCAGAGGCAUAAACAGCACUGGAAUGGUAUGGCUUUUUGUCGUUUAUNUGUGUCGCCGUACCCGAGUCGGUGCUUCCUAGUAUGUUUGUAAUUAACAUAUCUAUUUUGUAAUUGAUAUACAUUUGAGAAUUAGAGUGUUAAAAUUUUAUUAUAGGAAACCAUAUAUAUAAGAUAUAUAUUAAUAUAUAUUAUUUAAUUGAUUAUUAUUAACUCUACGAUUAGUCAGUGACUAGUCUACGACUAGUCGACAAGCUUGACCUCUAUCGACUCAACUCGACUUAUCGAUGUGACAACCAUGAUUGAAGGUUUGUGUCCAGUUAUAAAAGGCACUAGAAGUUUUGGACAACGGUAAACAAAAAACCAAGUCUAAACAAAUUGAGUUUGAACAAUACUGUUCAGAGGCAUGUUAAGCAUACUUUAUUAAGAAACAAAUUUUAAUUACAGAUUUAUGUACCUGAUCCAAGUACUCCAUGCAAAGUGAUCACCUCUGUUGAUUGCAAGUCUUCCGAGUUGGUUGCUGUCUCUGGGGUCAGCGUGUGCAUAUUUCUUAACAAAAGUUUCCCUGCUUCUUUCCCUGACCAAUCAACAUAUUAGGAACCUAGAUUCCGGCAUAAGUGUUUUCAAGUCAUUUAAGUUGUGCACAAUAGGUGAUCCAGGAAGAAAAGUUCGGAACAGUUUGACUUGUAUGCUUAUAAAUUUAAUCAGAAUAUUAUGUGUAUUAGUAUUAUAAUAAGCUAUAACUUGAAUGAUUUUCAAAAUAACUACAGAGUAUAUUAUGAUUAGUUGGACGUCAUGACAAAAUUAUAAGUAUCUAUUAAAAAUUAGACAAUUAAUUUGAAAUGAAGGUCAUAUUAGUAAAACAUCUGGCUUAAAAAUUUGUGAAAAAGAACUCACCAUUAAAGUAUAUAUAGCUAUGCAGAACAUAUUAUAACAUAUAUUCAAAUGUUGAAAACAACUUGCAUGUUCAACCUUAUUAUAAGUUAACAAUAUGCACAACAAAUAGGCAUGUAUAGGCCGACUUUCAUCCCUGCUCAGACAGGUUAUUCUUGAAUAUAUAAGGAAAAGCCCAGAGUAAUAGUUACCUUUCAGAGAAGGUGCAGGCAUCGCGACAUCUAAAAUAGAAACUUUGUUCUGCCUAGAUUGGCCCGCUAACAUUUGUAUCGACUCAUAAAUAUUCAAACAGCCUGAUUCAUAGCGUGAUUCAGUAGUAGGUCCAAAUGGUUUCAUCCGGAAAGGCAGAGUUACUGAAUGCAGAGCAGAGGCAUAAACAGCACUGGAAUGGUAUGGCUUUUUGUCGUUUAUACGUAGAUAUCUGGAAUCUAGAAACAAAGAUAUUUAUAAAUAUUAAAGACAACAAAUGGUUGUUGAAAAAUCUAAUAUGUCAAUGCAUUUAGUGUCUCGAUAUACACAACACACACAUCUUCGUUUAAUCAAAUCAUAUCAUUAAUUUGUUUUCACCUUUUAAUAUAUCUGAUUAAUGACCACAAUAAGAAUCUCAUGUACUUAAGUAAAUCAUAUCCCGAUUGAUUUAUCAGAAUUCCAAGGUGUCUAAAUCAUCAGAUAACAUCCAAAAUGCUUACUUAUACUUAAGGAUGGCAAACCGAGAGGCACAAUCAAUUUACAGAAGGAUGAUAAUCUUGAAAAAGAUACUGCAUCGUGAACAUAAUGAGAUACUGUCUGUUUUCGGCUUUUAAGAUUUGUAUCAGAGGCAGGAUCCCGAAC
rnacentral:lncRNA from 1 species